GAUGAACGCUAGCGGCAGGCUUAAUACAUGCAAGUCGAGGGGGUAGCAAUACCACCGGCGAAUGGGUGCGUAACGCGUAUGCAACCUGGCCAUAUCAGGGGGAUAGCCCUAGGAAACCGGGAUUAAUACCGCAUAAUAAUAAUAUUGGCAUCAAUAUAAUUUGAAAGAUUUAUCGGAUAUGUAUGGGCAUGCGUAGGAUUAGCUAGUUGGUAAGGUAACGGCUUACCAAGGCAACGAUCCUUAGGGGCUCUGAGAGGAGUAACCCCCACACUGGCACUGAGAUACGAGCCAGACUCCUACGGGAGGCAGCAGUGAGGAAUAUUGGGCAAUGGAGGCAACUCUGACCCAGCCAUGCCGCGUGCAGGAAGACGGUCCUCUGGAUUGUAAACUGCUUUUGAAUGGGAAGAAUGUGUGGCUUGCGAGCUAUAAUGACGGUACCAUUAGAAUAAGCCACGGCUAACUACGUGCCAGCCGCCGCGGUAAAAC
rnacentral:rRNA from 1 species